GCAGACACAUUCCAGCCAAUCAGCAGCAAACCCUCCCUCCCAGACCCUCCCACCUCCUGGACAGCAUCCAUUUUACAUCCAUUGUGAAGCUGCAUUCUUAGUGAGCUGUCCAGGAGGUGGGAGGGUCUGGGAGGGAGGGUCUGCUGCUGAUUGGCUGGAAUGUGUCUG
rnacentral:miRNA from 1 species